rnacentral:rRNA from 1 species
UGAUCCUGCCAGUAGUCAUAUGCUUGUCUCAAAGAUUAAGCCAUGCAUGUCUCAGUACAAGCCAUAUUAAGGUGAAACCGCGAAAGGCUCAUUAUAUCAGUUAUGGUUCCUUAGAUCGUACCCACAUUACUUGGAUAACUGUGGUAAUUCUAGAGCUAAUACAUGCAAACAGAGUUCCAACCAGAAAUGGAAGGAAUGCUUUUAUUAGACCAAAACCAAUCGAUGCGGCUGCGUGAUCAAAUGCUUGCUGUUGUGCGCGGCAUAUUUUACUCGGCGGCUGUAACAGGCUGUUGUGGUGUAAAUGUGUCGAUUGUAUGACAGUUAAGUACACGUAGUUCGAAUCGUCUAACAUGGUGAAUCUGAAUAACUUUGAGCUGAUCGCACGGUCUAGCACCGGCGACGUAUCUUUCAAGUGUCUGCCUUAUCAACUGUCGAUGGUAGGUUAUGCGCCUACCAUGGUUGUAACGGGUAACGGGGAAUCAGGGUUCGAUUCCGGAGAGGGAGCCUGAGAAACGGCUACCACAUCCAAGGAAGGCAGCAGGCGCGCAAAUUACCCACUCCCGGCACGGGGAGGUAGUGACGAAAAAUAACGAUACGGGACUCAUCCGAGGCCCCGUAAUCGGAAUGAGUACACUUUAAAUCCUUUAACGAGGAACCAUUGGAGGGCAAGUCUGGUGCCAGCAGCCGCGGUAAUUCCAGCUCCAAUAGCGUAUAUUAAAGUUGUUGCGGUUAAAAAGCUCGUAGUCGAAUUUGUGUCCCGCACUGUUGGUUCACUGCUUUGCGGUGUCAACUGACAUGUAUUGGGGGACGUCCUACCGGUGGAGCGCUGGCAGCCCAUGUCACGUGCGGCCGUGUGUCAGUGGCAUGUUGUUAUGUGCUUGCGUGGCAGUGCGCUUCGCGGCGUUAUUGUCAUCGCGGUCAUAGCAUGGCCCUGACCGCACGCAUUGUGUGUGGUUUGUUGCGAGCCUCCAAAUUUCAAUUCCCUAUCGCGGUGCUCUUAAACGAGUGUCGAGGUGGGCCGGUACGUUUACUUUGAACAAAUUAGAGUGCUUAAGGCAGGCUUGAAAUUAUGCCUGAAUAUUGUGUGCAUGGAAUAAUGGAAUAGGACCUCGGUUCUAUUUUGUUGGUUUUCGGAACUCCGAGGUAAUGAUUAAUACAAACAGUUGGGGGUAUUCGUAUUGCGACGUUAGAGGUGAAAUUCUUGGAUCGUCGCAAGACGGACAGUUGCGAAAGCAUUUGCCAAAAAUGUUUUGAUUGAUCAAGAACGAAAGUUAGAGGUUCGAAGGCGAUCAGAUACCGCCCUAGUUCUAACCAUAAACGAUGCCAGCUAGCUAUCCGCCGACGUUCCUCCGAUGACUCGGCGGGCAGCUUCCGGGAAACCAAAGCUUUUAGGUUCCGGGGGAAGUAUGGUUGCAAAGCUGAAACUUAAAGGAAUUGACGGAAGGGCACCACCAGGAGUGGAGCCUGCGGCUUAAUUUGACUCAACACGGGAAACCUCACCAGGCCCGGACACCGGAAGGAUUGACAGAUUGAGAGCUCUUUCUUGAUUCGGUGGGUGGUGGUGCAUGGCCGUUCUUAGUUGGUGGAGCGAUUUGUCUGGUUAAUUCCGAUAACGAACGAGACUCUAGCCUACUAAAUAGACGUCACUAACCGGCAUCUCAAGGCCCAUCGGCUGCAUGUAACCGUUGCACGGCGGCACGGUGUCACUGUGCGUGCGUGCAAUAUGUAUUGCGUGCGUCGUGCAUGUGUGUCUCGUAUGCAUGUGUGCGGCGUGCGUGUGCAUGUUGUUGCGCACGUAUAUGUGCCUGUGUUGUUCGUGUACGGGCUGUGUAGUUUUGAUGUGGUUUUUACUGCCGGCGUGCAAAUAACUCUUCUUAGAGGUACAAGUGGCAUUUAAGCCAUACUAGAAUGAGCAAUAACAGGUCUGUGAUGCCCUUAGAUGUUCUGGGCCGCACGCGCGCUACACUGAAGGAAUCAGCGUGUCUUCCCUGGCCGAAAGGUCCGGGUAACCCGCUGAAACCUCCUUCGUGCUAGGGAUUGGGGCUUGCAAUUGUUCCCCAUGAACGAGGAAUUCCCAGUAAGCGCGAGUCAUAAGCUCGCGUUGAUUACGUCCCUGCCCUUUGUACACACCGCCCGUCGCUACUACCGAUUGAAUGAUUUAGUGAGGUCUUCGGACUGGUACGCGACAAUACUUGUUUAUUGUCGAUGUUAUUGGAAAGAUGACCAAACUUGAUCAUUUAGAGGAAGUAAAAGUCGUAACAAGGUUUC